CAAGUAGAAGUUAUGAUGGGAGUACAGACUACAGAUUGCAGAUGUCAUACACAACAGAAGCAGAAAGAAGGGUGAAAAUGCAACGGCGCCUGGUGAUUAUAUAUGCCCAACCUGCGAUCGCAGCUGUGUAUCAAGGAUUGGCCUCUUUAGUGACUUUAGUCACACAAGAAGUUGCAAAGGGAAAAGAUCCUCUCUCUCGAGACGUAAAAUCAUAAAAAUGCCAGAUUUAUUUCAAAUUGAUCGAGUUAUUACUGCGCAAAAAAUCUUUUUAAUAAUUACAAUAUCGACUAAGAACGUUUGUUAAAACAUCUUCUGUAUGUGAAUGUAUCAUUGGGCUGGCAAUGUGUUGACGCUUGCCAUGCCCAUGGUCGCCAAGGACUAUAAAAGAAGUAACACUGAUCAACUCAUCCUUAAACAGUUCCUGGCCCUUUAUUAAAACAUUUGUAUAGUUAUUUGAACAUUCAUGAACUUCGUUGAUGUAGUCUGUAUAUUUUCAAAUGUUUGUGAAUGUAAAAUCUUUAAAAACAAGGUUACAAAAGACAGUUUGUGUGGAAACACAAACUCAAAAUCGGCCCCCGAAGUAAAAUGUUUUACAUAAUUCGGAUAAUCCUUCAGAGUUGAAGAUAGUUUACUUCCUAGUCCAAACCUCCCGCAGGACGACGGGGGAUGGGAGCAGGCAGGGUUUGAACCUUCGAUCGUCGAUAAAUCCAAACGACAGUCCAGCGCGCAAACCGCACGACCAGUGGUCCACCCAGGUAGGCUUCAAUAUUUUCAGAAAGAACAUCCGAAUGAAAUUAUAUCAAAGACAAAUGAGAGAUAAGAAUGGAUAAAGAAGGUUAACAGAUCUUGUGUAGUGCCCCAACCGUCCAGCAGAUCAAAGGAUACGUGUAAAGUUCAUCUGUUUUUGUGGCCUACGGUUACAACCGCCUUUGCUUUUCCCUAACUAAUGUCAGGUACCCAUUAGAGCUGGGUAGACUCAGAAGUUGAAAAUCCCAGUCUUCACCAGGAUUCGAACAUGGGACCCUCGGUUCGAACUAAAUAAGUUAAAUGUUUUUAAAAGGCUCAAUCUCAUUUUCGAAUCCUCAAAAAAAAAAAAAAAAAAAAAAAAAUUUCCGCUAUAUAGAAAAAAUGUUCACGAAAAUGAUGUUUAUAAGAUUACUAUUCGUCUCAAAUUAGGUCUAACAUAUAAUGCAUACUAAUUAGCUUUUUCUUAUAAAAAACUGCUUGCAUAAUUUAUUUUAAAAAUUAGAAUUUUCGCUUUCAGGAAAAAAAAAAAGUAGCCGUUGCAUCAGAACUUUGAAUGGUCUAAAAUAUUGUGAAGUCGGAUUUUCAAUAUCUCUUCUAGUUUACGAGAUCUAAACGGGACGGACGGACAGACAUUUCGCACAAAACUUAUAAUAGCGUCUUUUCCCCUUUCGGGGGCCGCUAAAAAUAGAGGAGCAACUGUUGAUGUGUGUUUUAUAUAGGUUGCACCAAUCGGUGUUUGGGAUUGGGAGUAACAUCCCUUGUAACUGUUGUUGCCAACCAAUAUGGCGUUCGAUUAAACAGCUGAUUUCAUGUCUUAUAUCGAGAGUCUUGUUAUUAUUCGUUCAUAAUAAUAAACAUGGUGGUUUAUAUCAGUGAUAUAAAUCUAGCUAAAUUAAGAAAAAAAAAUAGAUCUAAAGUGUAGAUCUAGAAUCUAGUAGAUUAGACGUAAAGGAGGCUUACUCGGUUACUUACUUACUGGCAUGUACGUCUAGAACUAGUCUACUAACAACCAUGAUCACACCAUAUGGACGGUACAGAUGGUCAAGACUUCCUUUUGGACUAAGUGUCCUGAGACUUCACCAGCAUUUAUAGAAGAAUGAACAGAUGGUGGAUCUAUUGGAAGAGUUAAACUCUGUAAACUUUCAGUGAGUUUUGGAAUAGACCUAGAAGUGAAA